GAUGAACGCUGGCGGCGUGCCUAAUACAUGCAAGUCGAGCGAACGGACGAGAAGCUUGCUUCUCUGAUGUUAGCGGCGGACGGGUGAGUAACACGUGGAUAACCUACCUAUAAGACUGGGAUAACUUCGGGAAACCGGAGCUAAUACCGGAUAAUAUUUUGAACCGCAUGGUUCAAAAGUGAAAGACGGUCUUGCUGUCACUUAUAGAUGGAUCCGCGCUGCAUUAGCUAGUUGGUAAGGUAACGGCUUACCAAGGCAACGAUGCAUAGCCGACCUGAGAGGGUGAUCGGCCACACUGGAACUGAGGCACGGUCCAGACUCCUACGGGAGGCAGCAGUAGGGAAUCUUCCGCAAUGGGCGAAAGCCUGACGGAGCAACGCCGCGUGAGUGAUGAAGGUCUUCGGAUCGUAAAACUCUGUUAUUAGGGAAGAACAUAUGGUAAGUAACUGUGCACAUCUUGACGGUACCUAAUCAGAAAGCCACGGCUAACUACGUG
rnacentral:rRNA from 1 species